UGGGGAAUAUUGCACAAUGGGCGCAAGCCUGAUGCAGCCAUGCCGCGUGUAUGAAGAAGGCCUUCGGGUUGUAAAGUACUUUCAGUCGGGAGGAAGGUGUCAAGGUUAAUAACCUUGGCAAUUGACGUUACCGACAGAAGAAGCACCGGCUAACUCCGUGCCAGCAGCCGCGGUAAUACGGAGGGUGCAAGCGUUAAUCGGAAUUACUGGGCGUAAAGCGCACGCAGGCGGUUGAUUGAGUCAGAUGUGAAAUCCCCGGGCUUAACCCGGGAAUUGCAUCUGAUACUGGUCAGCUAGAGUCUUGUAGAGGGGGGUAGAAUUCCAUGUGUAGCGGUGAAAUGCGUAGAGAUGUGGAGGAAUACCGGUGGCGAAGGCGGCCCCUGGACAAAGACUGACGCUCAGGUGCGAAAGCGUGGGGAGCAAACAGG
rnacentral:rRNA from 1 species